UACGAAGGGGACUAGCGUUGUUCGGAAUCACUGGGCGUAAAGCGCACGUAGGCGGAUUCGUAAGUCAGGGGUGAAAUCCCGGGGCUCAACCUCGGAACUGCCUUUGAUACUGUAUCGCUUGAACACGGGAGAGGUGAGUGGAAUUCCGAGUGUAGAGGUGAAAUUCGUAGAUAUUCGGAAGAACACCAGUGGCGAAGGCGGCUCACUGGACCGUAGUUGACGCUGAGGUGCGAAAGCGUGGGGAGCAAACAGG
rnacentral:rRNA from 1 species